AUUGAACGCUGGCGGCAGGCCUAACACAUGCAAGUCGAGCGGGGUUUUCGGACCUAGCGGCGGACGGGUGAGUAAUGCGUAGGAAGCUACCCGAUAGAGGGGGAUACCAGUUGGAAACGACUGUUAAUACCGCAUAAUGUCUACGGACCAAAGUGUGGGACCUUCGGGCCACAUGCUAUCGGAUGCGCCUACGUGGGAUUAGCUAGUUGGUGGGGUAAUGGCUCACCAAGGCGACGAUCCCUAGCUGGUUUGAGAGGAUGAUCAGCCACACUGGAACUGAGACAAGGUCCAGACUCCUACGGGAGGCAGCAGUGGGGAAUAUUGGACAAUGGGCGCAAGCCUGAUCCAGCCAUGCCGCGUGUGUGAAGAAGGCCUUCGGGUUGUAAAGCACUUUCAGCGAGGAGGAAGGGUGGUGUGUUAAUAGCACAUCAUUUUGACGUUACUCGCAGAAGAAGCACCGGCUAACUCUGUGCCAGCCGCCGCGGUAAAAC
rnacentral:rRNA from 1 species